GACGAACGCUGGCGGCGUGCUUAACACAUGCAAGUCGAACGAAGUGGGAACGGGUGAGUAAUACGUGGGUAACCUCCCUCCUUUUUGGGAUAAGCCUUGGAAACGGGGUCUAAACCGAAUAGAUGGGCUCGAGGCCUAUCAGCUUGUUGGUGGGGUGAUGGCCUACCAAGGCGGUGACGGGUAGCCGGCCUGUCAGGGUGACCGGCCACAUUGGGACUGGGGUACGGCCCAGAUCCCUACGGGAGGAAGCGGUGGGGGAUAUUGCACAAUGGGCGAAAGCCGGAUGCAGCGACGCCGCGUGAGUGAAGAAGGUUUUCGGAUCGUAAAGCUCUGUUGUUAGGGAAGCGGUAUCUAACCAGAAAGCCACGGCUAACUACGUGCCAGCAGCCGCGGUAAUAC
rnacentral:rRNA from 1 species